AGAUUGCUAGCGAGCCGUCAGAGCAGCUUGCCGCAGCUCAGGCGGGCUCCGCAGAAAGAUGGCGUUUGCUAUCAAGGUCACAUGGCCACUUUAGGGGACUAAAACGAAAUACUAGCUGAGAACAACAGGAACUGCCAGCACAGGAUCAGAUUUUCAGAAGCAGUCUCAAUUCUAAGUGUCUUUUUCUAAUUAGAAUCGUAAGCACAUUUUUUUGUAUUUGUCCGAACACAUGUCCUAAGUCAUCAAAACUAUGUGAAGGGGUGGAGUUUCACUGGGGGUCUUCUCUUUCCGGGAGCCUGAAAAGGAUGGGAGGAGGGUGGGGGAAACCCAAGGGCCAGGGUAACCGCAGAACCGGAAAGCAGCACGUGCCAGGACAGAAGGCACCCACUAGGGUCUCUGCACUGAGAGCAG
rnacentral:lncRNA from 1 species